UAUACUUGGGACCCACUGUGCGCUGUCUCACACGACGAAACGUGUUAGUCCAGCGAGAAAACUUUUUUUUUCUCUCGCAGCCUUACCAAAAACUGCAGCGUUCCACAAAUGUUGUACACUUUGUUUGUCCUCCAGUGACCUGCUGCAGACAACUCGAAGAGGGGUAUUCAUGGAAUGAGGUAACCCUUGGGGAGAUUUUCUAAGAAGUGUUUACCCUAAACGUGAGCUCUGCACAGUGCUGAAGGCGGAGAAAGAGCAAAAGAAAGGGAGGUAGGUUGGUCCUGCAGAGAAACAUUGAGGUUGUUCCACCCAUGAGGCCUCAUGAUUUCAGGGGCAAAUCCCCUCUUUCCCAAGACCCAGAGACAGACGGUGCACUGGGCUGCUCCUCCUCCACCAACCCUCUGCACCAGCACCCAACCAAUCUGGAAAAUAAUGUGUAGAUGGCUACACCUUAGGAGCAGAACAGAAUGACCACCUAUUCCUAUGUUUCUUUUCAAUGCAGAACAACUGCU